rnacentral:rRNA from 1 species
UACAGAGGGGGCAAGCGUUGUUCGGAAUUACUAGGCGUAAAGGGCGCGUAGGUGGCCUUCUAAGUUGAACGUGAAAUCCCUGGGCUCAACCCAGGAACUGCGUCCAAGACUGGAAGGCUUGAGUAUGGGAGAGGUAAGCGGAAUUCCUGGUGUAGCGGUGAAAUGCGCAGAUAUCAGGAGGAACACCGGUGGCGAAGGCGGGUCUCUGGGCCGUAACUGACGCUGAGGAGCGAAAGCAUGGGGGAGCGAACAGG